rnacentral:rRNA from 1 species
GGACGGGGCCCGCACAAGCGGUGGAGCAUGUGGUUUAAUUCGAUGCAACGCGAAGAACCUUACCUGGUCUUGACAUCCCGGAGACCCUUAGGAAACUAGGGGGUGCUUCCAUCUGGAAGAAUCUGGAGACAGGUGCUGCAUGGCUGUCGUCAGCUCGUGUCGUGAGAUGUUGGGUUAAGUCCCGCAACGAGCGCAACCCUUGCCUUUAGUUGCCAGCAGUUCGGCUGGGCACUCUAAAGGGACUGCCGGUGUUAAACCGGAGGAAGGUGGGGAUGACGUCAAGUCCUCAUGGCCUUUAUGACCAGGGCUACACACGUACUACAAUGGCCGAUACAAAGGGCAGCGACACUGCGAGGUGAAGCCAAUCCCGUAAAAUCGGUCUCAGUCCGGAUUGGAGUCUGCAACUCGACUCCAUGAAGUUGGAAUCGCUAGUAAUCGUGGAUCAGCAUGCCACGGUGAAUACGUUCCCGGGCCUU